rnacentral:rRNA from 1 species
GACGAACGCUGGCGGCGUGCCUAAUACAUGCAAGUCGAACGCAGUGGGGACGGGUGAGUAACCCGUGGGUAACCUCCCGUCAACGGGGAUAACACUUGCUAACAGCUGCUAAACCGAUACUGAUGGAUGGACCCGCGGUGCAUUAGCUAGUUGGCGAGGUAACGGCUCACCAAGGCGACGAUGCAUCGCCUGCCUGAGAGGGGGAUCGGCCAGACUGGGACUGAGACACGGCCCAUACUCCUCCGGGAGGCAGCAGUGGGGAAUCUUCGGCAAUGGACGAAAGUCUGACCGAGCCACGCCGCGUGAGUGAAGAAGGUUUUCGGGUCGUAAAGCUCUGUUGUUAGAGAAGCGGUAUCUAACCAGGAAGCCCCGGCUAACUACGUGCCAGCAGCCGCGGUAAUAC